rnacentral:rRNA from 1 species
GACGAACGCUGGCGGCGUGCUUAACACAUGCAAGUCGAACGGAGAUUUAAGAGGAAGCUUGCGAAUCUUAAAUCUUAGUGGCGGACGGGUGAGUAACACGUGGAUAACCUGCCUGUAAGACCGGGACAACACCUGGAAACGGGUGCUAAUACCGGGUAAGCUCUUCAUGCCGCAUGGUGAGAAGAGGAGAGGGGAAACCCGCUUACAGAUGGAUCCGCGGCCCAUUAGCUAGUUGGCGGUGUAACGGACCACCAAGGCGACGAUGGGUAGCCGGCCUGAGAGGGUGACCGGCCACACUGGAACUGAGACACGGUCCAGACUCCUACGGGAGGCAGCAGUGGGGAAUCUUCCGCAAUGGGCGAAAGCCUGACGGAGCAACGCCGCGUGAAUGAUGAAGGCCUUCGGGUUGUAAAAUUCUGUCUUCAGGGAAGAAAAAAAUGACGGUACCUGAGGAGGAAGCCCCGGCUAACUACGUG